rnacentral:rRNA from 1 species
ACGACUCUCGGCAACGGAUAUCUCGGCUCUCGCAUCGAUGAAGAACGUAGCAAAAUGCGAUACUUGGUGUGAAUUGCAGAAUCACGUGAACCAUCGAGUCUUUGAACGCAAGUUGCGCCCGGAGCCUUUGGGCCGAGGGCACGUCUGCCUGGGUGUCAAA